rnacentral:lncRNA from 1 species
GUACAGGGAGGUAACAUACAGGACUUCACACAGCGGUACAGGGAGGUAACAUACAGGACUUCACACAGCGGUACAGGGAGGUAUUAUACAGGACUUCACACAGCGGUACAGGGAGGUAACAUACAGGACUUCACACAGCGGUACAGGGAGGUAACAUACAGGACUUCACACAGCAGUACAGGGAGGUAACAUACAGGACUUCACACAGCGGUACAGGGAGGUAACAUACAGGACUUCACACAGCGGUACAGGGAGGUAUCAUACAGGACUUCACACAGCGGUACAGGGAGGUAACAUACAGG